rnacentral:tRNA from 2 species
AUAAAGAUAGGUUAAAUAAACCACUGAGCUGUGGAUUCAGAGAUGUACUCAAAUACUCUUUUUC